rnacentral:lncRNA from 1 species
AACUCUCAAGGACGGGCUUGACCCCAUGGAGCUGAGAGCCACACUGCUUCCCCUCCCCACCCAUUUCAGGCCCAUGUCAGUCACCACCUUCUCACUCCUCCCCAGGCUACAUAGCAGCCAGGGUGUCUGUGCCCAGGGCUAGGAAGCAGGACCCCAUCGGGGUUGUAUCAGGAGACUGGUGAUGACCCCAACCACCACCUGCUCAGGACAACGGACUGUGCUUCCUGGUACACACAUUCCUGAGAACUCCACCGCAUGUACUUUCUGGAGGGCCAAGCAGCAUUGACACUUGCCAGUCUUGCAGCUCAGGAACUCAAGAAGCUUGUUUCUAUGGGCACCCUGAACCCAACACCCCCUGGGAGUGCAACUCCAGAACUUGGCAGGAACAAGCGCCAUGCUGUGACGGCGCUUUGGUGAGCAAGUACCCUGAAAUCACCUUUCUCCAUGGGGAAAUCAAGGCAGGAACAGCAGAGGGCCCAGGUCCUGUGCAUCUCUCUAGAUCAGCUGCCCCUUUUUUGGUUUGUGAGCCCAGGUGGGUAGAGACAGCCACAGUUGGGUGGGGCAUACAGCCUUUAUCUCUUACUGGUUCUGCCAGGGUGAGGAUAGACAAGGACUGCUCUUCCAGAUGAAGAAGAUGGCCUUAGUGAUGGGUACAUCACUGCCAGACAAGGAUACUGAGUUGUUAUCCUCAGGCUUACCAUCAUACUGUGCCCCAAUUUGAUCCUGCCUGGUAGGGAGGGAGAUAGGACAAGGUCAUCCCUAUCCCUGGACCCAGGCCCAGUGCCAACACCGGGCUGCCCACAGAAGGCAAGGCUGAUGCGAAGUGGCCAGAGCCUAUUGGUCCCAGAGUCUGUCAGUUACUUCAAGUGCUCUGAGUAAAUGCAGGUGUUCUAGGCCUCUGGACAGAGAGAGGGUGUCACCUGAAAGGCCCUUCAGACCCUGGAUGGGGACAAGAGCACAUCACUGAGUGGAGCAAGAGCAAGUGACAGCGGUGGCAGAGCCCAGGGCCUGCCCAUGCGGCUUCCCUGCCUAGCUCCUUUUAUGCUCAGCUGUCCUGUACUGGCCUGCUGGCCUAGUGGGAAGCCAAGCCAAGCAGCUUCAGGAUAAGGACCUGCUAGGCCACACCUUGCCCUGAGUGUCACAGUAGCCAACAGCGGGAAGAAUGAAUCUCAGCAAAGCUGAACAGUGUUGUGGGUAUAACCAUGAUGUUGUUCUGGUCCCAGGUGUGGGAUGUGGAGCUGAUUCAGAGGGUCCACAGCAGCAGACUAUUUGCCUCGUGCGGGCUCUGAGAGGGGCUCUUUGCCAGCUGCAGAUAGUUUAAAGCUGAGGACUCUGGAGAGGGAAUAAAGGCCAGAGCCCAGAGAGUGAGGAGAACA